rnacentral:rRNA from 1 species
UACGGAGGGUGCGAGCGUUGCCCGGAAUCAUUGGGCGUAAAGGGCGCGUAGGUGGCCCGGUCAGCGUGCGGUGAAAGCUCGGGGCUCAACCCCGAGUCGGCCGUGCGAACUGCUGGGCUGGAGCACUGUAGAGGCAGGCGGAAUUCCGGGUGUAGCGGUGGAAUGCGUAGAGAUCCGGAAGAACACCGGUGGCGAAGGCGGCCUGCUGGGCAGUGGCUGACACUGAGGCGCGACAGCGUGGGGAGCAAACAGG